UGCAUUUUUUUACCUUGUGCUGAGAUGUUUUAAACUUUGAAAAUAAAGAUUAGAUUUUUUACGCAUUCAAGAACCAUUGCUGCCUCAUCUUUUGAAUUUACUAUUUACCUGGGACUACAAGGAGUCCUCUUUUGGCAGCUAUUCUUAUGGAUCCUCACGCUCUAGCUAUCAUAUAGUGGCUGAGACGGGUAUAAGGAGUGAGCACCUUGUUUCCACUACAAGGCUUGGCUAACCUGCAACACCCCCCCCUUCUUUGAACGCCCCCGAUGACGUCACACGCCGCACUACAGGAAUCCGGAAGUUAAUCAGCAUACAGGAACGGAGAGGAGACAGCGUGUACAAGGGAACUGGCGGCUAAGCCAGAGUUUGUCCCCACGCUGGGAGUCUAGCCUCUGAGAAGUUCAAACGGCUGUCUACCGGGUAUACCAGUGCAAUCUAUCGGCAGAAGGAUCCAAGAAUAGGAAUAUGCAAAAUAAGUGGGUGCAGCAAGUUCAAGAUUGGAUGGUUCAAGGUCCCUCCAGACAGGCUUCUCAUGUCUGGAUUAUCAGUCAGUGAUUUAUCCAAUGGGCGGCGAUUAGAGUCAUGUCUAUGCUGUGGCCGGAUUUGAUUAACCCUGUGCUACACUUGUAUUUGUACAUGUAAUUUUAGCUAACACAGUGCUUAACUUUGCAAUACAGUAUGUUCAUAGUAUGCUUGUCUGAAUAAAAGCUGCUAUGUAAAUGUUUUAGCUAAGACUGUGCUAGUUUGCAUAUUAAAAUUGCUAUAAAAUGUUUGAUUAAAAACUAUACCAACAGUAAGAAAUACAUUGUUUCAGAAAGACACUAAUAACUUACUAUAAAUGAAAUAUAUCUUUUAAAUCUUUCAUAUACAUCUCCUAUACAUAAAGGAGUGUAACCUUACUAUAUAAAUAAAUAGUCCUGUAAAUAAAGGAUCUGUUAAAUAUUUUCAUAUGAUUAUCCUGUAGAAAAAGGAUAUAAUCUUUCAUAUGCUUAUCCUGCAGUAUUCAAAUAUAUGUUUAAAUAAAGUUUGUCUACAGUAUAUAA